AUUGAACGCUGGCGGCAGGCCUAACACAUGCAAGUCGAGCGGAUGAAGGGAGCUUGCUCCUGGAUUCAGCGGCGGACGGGUGAGUAAUGCCUAGGAAUCUGCCUGGUAGUGGGGGCUAACGUCCGGAAACGGGCGCUAAUACCGCAUACGUCCUGAGGGAGAAAGUGGGGGAUCUUCGGACCUCACGCUAUCAGAUGAGCCUAGGUCGGAUUAGCUAGUUGGUGGGGUAAAGGCCUACCAAGGCGACGAUCCGUAACUGGUCUGAGAGGAUGAUCAGUCACACUGGAACUGAGACACGGUCCAGACUCCUACGGGAGGCAGCAGUGGGGAAUAUUGGACAAUGGGCGAAAGCCUGAUCCAGCCAUGCCGCGUGUGUGAAGAAGGUCUUCGGAGUGUAAAGCACUUUAAGUUGGGAGGAAGGGCAGUAAGUUAAUACCUUGCUGUUUUGACGUUACCAACAGAAUAAGCACCGGCUAACUUCGUG
rnacentral:rRNA from 1 species